UGAUAAAAGGCACUUCUGCGCACAAAACAGGAUAUUAGGAUAUGUUCGAUGUGUCAGUCAGUGUAACUUUGGAAUACCACUGUUGCGUCAUUUACAAACUAUUGAGUCAAUAUCAUCUGUUGCCGAAACAUGUUACCCCUGCAUUGGAAAACCAAAUUAUUCAUUUAUUGCGAGAUGGGAUCACCUACGACACGAAUACAAACGUAUUUACACGGAGAUCAAAGAAACAAAAUACCUGGUUUGCUAAAAUUGUCAGAGCAGAACACCAACGAUAGACGACAUACCAGUUAUGUCAAUUAUAUAAAUGAGUUGCUUAGGUACUUUGGAAAAGAACGAGUUCAUCUGGUCGGAAGUACAGCUGAAAACUUGAAAUUGCGGUGGUCAACAGACGGUGGUGACGCCGACUUUCUUCUCGUAUCAGGGAGACUGGAGAUUCCAGUAGCAAAUAUAAUACCGCGCUCAGAUACGCCUAGGUACAUUUGGUUGCGCGGUGAUCAUCUUGACGAGCGGUAUCGUGGACAUUUGCUUGAUGGGAAGUAUCUCUGCGCGCAGCUUUUGCGGACUGUCGAUCCUCAAUUGUUUACAACAUUGCGCGCGAUUCAUACGAUCGUGACAUCGCCUGCAGAUUUUGUUCCAGGAAGAGAGAGUCGAAUGACAAGCGUUGGUGUAAACUCAAAGGUCGGUUUAGCAAGGCUACAAAUGCGGGACCUUGUAGUUGACAACAACGCGUUCCCAGGGAAGACGAGAGGAAGGCAUGUUGGGAAACGCUGCGCCAAUAUAACAGCACAGUUAAAACUACGUUGGAAAGAAGUGAAAGUAAACCAAGAAGAUUUAAAGACGUUGAAGAGACUUCUGAAGAUAGUAGCACUAGUAAAGGAACCAGGAACUAAAGGAGAACAUCAUGGGUCGUUUAACUACUUUGCCACAAUGCUAUCUGAGGCGCUUAGCCGGCCUUCGCUUUUUGAAGAUGAUCUAGACGAUGAGGAAGUUAUCGUCUUUGAAAACGAUAUGGAUAUUGAUGAGAAUCAUGGUAAUGAGAGGAUCAAAGCAACUUACGAUGACAAGACAAGCAAAGAUUUUGUUCCUGCAGCCCGAGUAAGUGGAAAACUUCAGUGCAUGGUUGAUUUUCGAAACAGAAUGACGCAUGCUGCAUGGCCAUCUCAGUCAAUCGCUGAAGACAUAUUCAACAACGACGUUUUCGUAAUAUGUAGAUCGGCUCCAUUAAAUCCAUCCGCAGACAAAGAUUUUUGCCUUGGUUUCAACCUUUCUGAAAUAACACUUAGCCAGAAUAUGCCAGAAGUCGCUAAGACCGUCUACAUUAUCAUGAAAUCGUACUUGAAAGGUUUAUUCCAAAAGCGGUUCAAUGCUAAGAACCGUGAAGAAGUUAGACUGAAGUCGUACCAUGUGAAGACGGCGAUUUUUUGGACCCUUGAAAAGCAUGGAUCGUGUAGCUUUUGGACAGGGACUUCUGAUGAUUCCAUUCUUCAGGGCAUUCGUUACGUUCUCGACAAAAUCAAUAAAUGCUUAAAAGACCGACAGCUGUGCCACUACUUCGUCACGAACAGCAACAUGUUCGACGGGUUUCAGGAGGAGGAAUAUUCCCUGUGUGAAGCAUGCGUGGACGAGAUCAUGAAAGACCCUGUCGGAAGUAUUGCACUCUUUUUUGAAUUGGAUAAAGCAAAAAAGGCAGAAUACUGGUUGUCUCCAGAUGAGUUUGAGCAAGUUAUGGCUUUAAAGAAGGAUGGUGGAAGAAAGGACUUCGUUGAUCGAUUGGAAGAUGCGUUAAUUGAUAUGCUUAGAGGUUUCAAUGAAGCUCCUAGGAGUCCCGAUGGAUCUUCUCCAAUCAGAAACGCAGCUUUAGGCGUUAUAGAGUUGUUUCGUAAAGAAGAACAAGAGAAAACCGGGGGUAAACAGUCAAGACGGGAAAGUAAUUGUGAAAGUCAACUAAAACCGGAACAUGUCCUUAGUGGAAACCGUUCUGGGGCGUCGGUGGUUGGUGGGCUGCUUAAUAUGCUACCGCACAAAGGGAAAGACGUUCAAAAAUGGACAGAUGGACUUGUUCAGUUCGCAUCGCAUUUUCCUGAAAGUCGCAAGUACAUUGAUAUGGUUGGUGGUAGUAGCGGGGUUUGGGAUGUCUUGCAAGCCGCUUCAAGUUCAGAUCCUUUAGCUGAGAUCAGAGCGGCGGUCGACAGGUACUUGUCCUGCCCGGACGACGUGGUGGACUCUGUUGCUAUGGAACUGAAGCAGAAGAUAAUCGCCUAUUUCAUUGGACAAAAGGAACUAUAGUCAUCUUGGACACCUACACUACCGGAAGACAUCAUUUUAACGGCACAACCGUCGGUGCUGGAUGUGUGCGUUGAGAUGCCAACACCCUCACGACUCUGGGAAGUGUUCAAAACUAGUUUCAUGUUUGUUCUAGACGUUUCGCAGAUGGUAGACAAUUCAAAGAGAAAAGCCAAAACGCGCUGGCUGGUGAGGAAGCCCGUAUAAUCAAUUGUUUGACAGUAACGCCAUUGAAACUGAUGUCGAUAACAGUAACCCCAGUGAAACUGAUGUCGAUAACAGUAACACCAGUGAAACUGAUGUUAAUAACAGUACUCCCAGUGAAACUGAUGUCGAUAACAGUAGCCCCAGUGAAACUGAUGUCGAUAACAGUAACCCUGUUGUAUCCAAAUUGGAAAUCCUGACUGCUACUUAAUACAGAAAGUACUGGUGUAACACUCAAUUCAUGCCUCAGUAGGAACAAUCCAUAUCUAUGCUGCAAUACGUAUCCAGAAAGUUGCCGAAAUCAGCACCAUAACAUCCUGUAAUUAUUAAAUAACCUUGUUAUACCCAUAUGCCUAUGCUAAAAGCAGAGAAAGUUUAUCAGCUCAUAGAAUUCUACUUUAGCCAAGACAGUACUUCUUCUGAUUCGGAUGCAAGAUUUUACACCGGCUUGAGUUAGUUUGAAACCUUUGUGUAUCUUUGCUGUUGUAUUAUCAUAACUAGUAUAUCAUACUAAAUAGAUGUGUUUAUAAAUGCAUAUGUAUUAUUAUUGUGUUGGAAAACAACUGCUGAAGAAGAGGACUUCGUAAUUUUGUAAAUAAAACUGUCAUAGUUAUGCCAUCAUAAAGUGUCGCUAUUUUCUGAGAUCAAUUAAUCCAUUGACUACACUGAAUUUUAAGAUACGACGGUUUGUUUUAGAGUGUCAUUUUUGGCCAUAAAUGUAUUGCAUUUCACAAUUUCAUCUUAUCUGGUUGAUUAAAA